rnacentral:rRNA from 1 species
GACGAACGCUGGCGGCGCGCCUAACACAUGCAAGUCGAACGGAGUUGUGUUGAAAGCUUGCUGGAUAUACAACUUAGUGGCGGACGGGUGAGUAACACGUGAGUAACCUGCCUCUCAGAGUGGAAUAACGUUUGGAGACGAACGCUAAUACCGCAUAACGUGAGAAGAGGGCAUCCUCUUUUACCAAAGAUUUAUCGCUGAGAGAUGGGCUCGCGGCCGAUUAGGUAGUUGGUGAGAUAACAGCCCACCAAGCCGACGAUCGGUAGCCGGACUGAGAGGUUGAUCGGCCACAUUGGGACUGAGACGCGGCCCAG